GCAGGGUUGGUAGCAAGGAGAGAGCUUUCUCUGGUAUGGCUUGCUGUUCCAGCUGCGAUGCUUGGUUGCAGGGAAUGGGAUUCAGUGAGAACCAAGAGCAGAAUUAAGAAGUCAUGGGAGAGAACACACCCACACCCACACCCACACCCACACCCACUCCUAAGCUAAAACGCCACGCUGUACGUCCAUGAGCUCCGUUGAGACAUUUGCUGCAGGAUAACAAUUCAGCCACAAACAUCAGAAAAGGACGUGAACCCAGACAUAGUGGCGCAUGCCUGAAAUCCCAGCACUCUGGGGGCUGAGGAAGGAGGAUUGCAAGUUCGCUCCCAGUCUGGACAAUUUACAGAGAAUGCAAAGGGAAAGAAAAAAGAUAGGCUGGGUAUAGCUCAUCGCAAAGGGCCUGGGUUCAAAUCCUAGUAUACACCCCUCCACCCCACACAGUGAAUUUGAAGUACUCUGGAGCCCCCCUUGGAAUUGUUUCCAAAUUUGUGUGUUACACAUAACUGGAGAGGAUGUGGAAGUUUUAUCAGAUCCCCAGAAGCCAAAGAUUGCCUUUUAUUUCUCUAAGUAAUUAUUUGCAUUAAAUGUUUAAUUAUUUUGAAUAUUGUACCCAUGUCUAACUAAUGGGCAUUCUAUCUCUCUGUACUUACAGUGAAGCCUAGCUUUUAACAGUGACAUGUUCUGAGAAACAUAUCCUUAGAGGAUUUCAUCAUUGUGUGAACAUCACUGAGGGUAUUUACACAAAACAAGCUGCUGUCAUGUCACUAAGUGACAGAGUCCUAUGGGAUGACCCUUGUAUGUGUGGGCCAUUUUUAGUGUGUGUGUUUGUAUUUGCCUGUGUUUGUGCACAGAACUAUAGAAACAUCUGUGUAGUUCACUAUUUGUGCACACACCUUGGUUCUUAGAAAUUAUUGCUUCUCCAAAGAAUGUGUAUGUUUUCAAAACUUCAACUGCAUAUGGUCAGAAGUCCCUCUCCAAAGGUCCACUGGCUUAUCCACAGGGAAGAACACCUUUCCUCCAGAUUCUUGCCAAUACUAUUUUGUUGUUCUUUCAUUAAGAUGUAUUUUAAAUACAAAUUGUGCAGAAAAAAUAGACACCUGGGAAUGUAUUUACCCAGAUUUAAUAAAUAUAAAUUGUCG
rnacentral:lncRNA from 1 species